GUUUUUAUAGUUUAAAAUAAAACAUUAGUCUUGUAAACUAAAAAUUAAGUAAUUAUAAAAACU
rnacentral:tRNA from 1 species